CAGUUCGGAUUGUAGGCUGAGACUCGCCUACAUGAAGCUGGAGUUACUAGUAAUCGCAGAUCAGAAUGCUGCGGUGAAUGCGUUCCCGGGUCUUGUACACACCGCCCGUCACACCACGGAAGUUGGGGGCGCCCGAAGCCACUUAGCUAACCCUUUUGGGAAGCGAGUGUCGAAGGUGAAAUCAAUAACUGGGGUGAAGUCGUAACAAGGUAAC
rnacentral:rRNA from 1 species